AAUCGCUUGAACCCAGGAGGCGGAGGUUUUAGUGAGCCAAGAUCACAUCCCUGCACUCCAGCCUGGGUGACAGUGCACGACUCUGUCUUAAGAACAACAACAAAAAAACAAAAACACUCAUGACACCUAAAUAAACAGUUUAAAACCAACUAUUAUUUUAAAAUCACUCUGCUUUUAAAGACAUCUCAGUGGAAGUAAACCUCUUUCAAUUGAUGGCAUCAUUUGCUAAACUCUGGAUGAAUGUUUUCUCUCUGCUUGGCCAAGCUCCUGGGUGUCGAAGGGCAGAUGGGUUGAUGAGAUUGCGUUUGGCACACGUUAUCUCCCACAUGCACAGCCCGAGGGUGUUUGCUUACACGGAGGCCCUCCAUUCCCUUGCGGAGCAGGGAAGAUGGUCAGAGCGGGACCAGCUCCCUGGGAGAACGGCCUGCAGUGCCAUCCACAGCAACCUUUCUGGAUUUUUUGUCAACUUCAUCCUCAUUUUCUGCAGAACACAAAAGUAUCCAGAGUUCCGCUGGAAAACAGCUGGGGACAGGCUUCCUCCUCUCUGUCCACACCACACUCUCUAGCAGGCUCACCAUGAGAUGGCUUUGCCAUGGUGCAGGUGGAGGGUGGAGGAGUCCUGUGCCCAGGUCGCCAUGGUCCUGAACCAGAACUGUCUAACGGGUAGGAACCAGAAUAAUGUUCCCCCUGGAUUUCUGUUUUUCUGUUAUAACUAGACAUGCAAGGCAGAGAGCCCUUGACACAACCGUGUGUGCACGUGGGUCCAGUCCUGACAAAUGCGUGGCCCUGUCGCCAGCUGCUGGUGCUGGGUGGAGGGCUGUGAGCCUCCUCUUUUAUUCUGGCCGGAGAGAAAGCACUUUCACCUGCACACACAUGUGGGGUCACUGCUUUAUCGUGAAGCAGAGUGACCCCUUGUUCCCAUUACUCUGAAGGAGCAAAAAUGUGUCUCUGGAAACCCUCAGAAGGUUUUCUCCAGAGUCAUCCAUGCUCAUGGGGUACAACUGAUGAAGCCUCAUGAGUGACGCCUGAGCGACCUGAACGGGGGCAAGAGGGUGAGACCCAGCACAACCCUCCGAGCCCUACAACCGUGGGGUGUCAGAAGCUUGAUUCUGUCACCUCGUUCUGGGGAUCAGCCUCUACGUCUGUGUUUCCCUGGUGUGAGUGAUUUGUGCACUGUCUGGGUCAGGUCCUAGUACUUGUUUUUGACUCACAGGUUUGCUUUACUCCACCUGCAGCACUUCAUCCAUGAGGUCGUCCGUGGGCUUGAUGGUUUUGGUCACCGUUGAAGUAAAUAUGUAGCUGUAAAAACACAACGCACAUGCGUAGGCUGCCUAAAGCUUCUUGGGAAGCCAGGGCCAGGUCACCCCAGUGUGGGACAAAUCAUCACCUGCUCUGUAAGCCCAAGAUUUCUGGUCCUCUGCAGGCACUGGGGGAAAUGGCCUCUGGGUGAGAACCCGUGAGUGGAGCGUGGAGGGCUCUGGGGUCGGCAGCAUAAGGGCCCCCUGCGAAGGCGUCCACACCGGAGCCCAGAACCCGCCUUUGGAAGCACAUGCAGGUCUCCUGCAGGUUUAGUCUGAUGGAUGGUGCUGUGUCUUCCCAAAAACCGGGAGACAUCAGCUAAAUUUAGGCCAGACUCUUAAGAGAGUUUUUCUACAAGACCAUGGCAGUGCGAGUGAUCAGCCUGCUCUGGCCAAGUGGCCAGGGUGCACAUCGCUGCAGCUGCUGUGUGGGUGACCUGCCACCAUCUGUCCAAAUGCCAAGUGCACUUGCUGGGAUCCUGCACUCCUACAGCCUACUCAUGCACAGAGACAGGUGCAAGAGUGCAGAAACGGGCAGCCUUCAAGUUCAAGGCAGUCUGUUAGCACCGUGGCCCUGGCCCCUGUGUCUUCAGACCGGCUAAGUCCACCAUGGUUCCCUGGGAGCCAGAGCAUUUCUGCUGCCCAGAGCCAGGGUGGCUCCAGUGUAUGGCUGAGGCGGCAGCCCCCAGGUGCACCAGGUGUGAGUCAGGACCGGCAGGUGCCCUGUGUGUGGGCUUUCGCACCCUGUGUGGGGGGGUGCCCAUGUCCCGUGUGUAGUGAGCCCGUGUCCUGUGUGUGGGUGCCCAUGUCCUGUGUGUGGGUGCCCGUGUCCUGUGUGUGGGUGCCCAUGUCCUGUGUGUGAGUGCCCGUGUCCUGUGUGUUUGAGUGCCCAAUGCAAUAUGUGUGAAAACUUGUGUGCUUGCUUUGCUCCCAGCAGAGGGAGGCUCCCUCUGCGCCAUCUGCUUUGCCCGUGCGUUUCUCCGGUGCUGCUUUCUAUGAACACGGCCGGGGACUGACACUGGUUAUCCACUCCCAGGGCCUGGGGUUCUGCUGAGUUGUGGAUAAAAUCAUUGAUUGGAAAACUCACCAUCAACUGCUGGGGCUUCCAGGGAAGCUAGGGAAGCCCGUAGUACUCCCGUGCAUCUGCAGACCCAAUGCCAUUUCCAGCUGCCCUGACUCAGAGGUUGGCAGUGUGUGGCGGGCGCUGCCCCGACUGAGAGGUUGGCAGUGUGUGGUGGGCACCAGUUGUGGCAGGGCGAGGGCAGGAGCCACUGAGGAGACCAUGGGCUUUCCAUGCAGGAGAAUCCACCAGUUCCCGGCAGUGAGAUUUGCCCCUGAGGAACCCAACUACAUGCAGGGCCCGAGCUCCCGGCCUCCUGGAUCCACCUGCUAUGAGAUCGUCCCACCCAGCGCCUGCCCCUCCUGGCCUGCAGGGGCCUUUCUCUCAGCCCUUUCCCUCCUCAUAGGCAGGGGAAGAGUCGCAGGCAGGGAGGACAUGGUGGCUGGGCCCACUGGAUAUGCAGGGGUGUCCACAUGAAAAUGGCGCGUGGUCUGGUCAGCCACACCCGUGAGACCCGGAGCUCUGCGAAGGCCGUCACGGCUUAUUACGGCGCCCCAACAGUGAAGGCGGCCGGAAGCUGUUCCCUGAUGAAAGAAAGGAAGAAGAAAGGAGGAGGGAGGGAAGAAGGCCUUUCUUGUCCCAAGAGACUUCUGUAGGAAUUUUUGGGUGAUACUGAGCAUGGUAGACCCAGGUCCUCUUUCCAUGAGAGAGAGCCAGAGUACAGCGGGCUCAGCCGUGGUCAGGGGCUCAGGGCGCUGGGGAAGCAUUCGCGUGGGCUGCCCCCAGGAGCCGCCUUUGCCACCAAGACCUGCUCUUCCAGCCAGGCCUUGGGCUGGCCCUGCUCUCCCUUCGGACAAGGUCUUCAGUCCACAGAGAGGAUGGCCCACCUCCUGCCCCUAGGUCAGUGCGCGGCCCCAGGGAGGAGCUGUGUGAACCUGGGAGGUGCUGGAGAGCAAGGGUGCUCUACCAAGGGAGGCAGGUGGCCAGAGACCAGCCCAGCUCAGCCCAGGAGGAGCCUGGCCAGGAGUCCCACCAAAGCCACUGGACCCAGGGCGCCUCCAGUGACCCAGUCUUGGAGGGUCAGCACCGUCUCCAGGAUGGAUUCAGCUUUGCACACAGGUCUUGCUGUCUGUGGGGGCUACAGUCCCCGAUGCCUGGGCAGCAUGGACUGACGGCAACCCUUGGGUUGGGAGGCCCCAGAUGGGACUUCCUGGCCCGCCUGGGGUGGCAGGGGGUGGGGGGAGUGGCAGAGGAUGGAGCGUCUGUGCGCAUGCGUGAGAACCACAAGGAUGGCGUGUCUGUGAAGAUGGCUUCUCGCAGCUGUGGCUGCCUUCUGUGUGUGGGCAGUGGUGGUGGAGCCAUGACUGCACGGGACAGCCUUUGCCAUGUGGUUUUCCCGCCUCUGAUCCCUUGCCUGGGCUGAGGAGUGUUCCUCUGGGGCUCAAGGUGUGGGUUCGGUCCUGCUGUAGACAUCCUGGUGGCCCUGGCACAGACACCUCCUCCAGCGUGGUUCCUAGACCCCCUACGCAGGACCCUUAGGCCCCUGAGGGUCGGCAGGAGUGAGGCAGGCAGUCACUAACUGCCCUUGGGUGAGCCUGGUGGCCAGGGGUGGACCCAACAGGUGCAGGCGAGUCACCCCCAGCAGCCUCCCGACCCCGUGUCUUUCCCACACACAGCACAGCUGGGACAUGGGGGUCAGGCCAUUACUUGUGCUUCUAGUCCUUACAUCACCCACAACUCACCCCUACCCUGUGCCUGGCUGUGGUGCCCGCAGCCUCGACUCCACAUAAACAUAGGCCAGGAAGUCCCAUCUGGAGCCUCCCACCCUGAAGGUUGCCGGCAGUCCGUGCUCCCCAGGCACCAGCCCUGCAGCCCCCCCAGACAGUGAGACCUGGGUAUGAAGUGGAAUCCGCUUGAGGCACAGUGCUGACCCUCCAGGGCUGGGUCACUGGAGUCUCCAGUGGCUCCUGGCCAGGUUUCUCCUGGCCUGGGCCUGGGCUGGUCUCCAGCCUCCUCCCUCCCUUGGUGCAGGACGCUUGCUUCCCAGCUUCCCUGGGAAAUCCGACGCCAUCAGAUCCCCGCACGCAUCCAGCACCCCUGGCACCGGCGGAAUUGCCUUUCUGUGUGUAUAGCCCCUAACAGGGCGGCACAGCCCUUCUGAAACCUCGCACGUCCUCACUGGGGUGGCUGAGGCUGGGCCACUGGGUGUUCACCUCCUGCCCCUGGAACUGUGCACAGGACCUCUCUUCAAAUAGGAGGCAGGUCUUGCCGGCAUGCUGGGGCAGUGGCUGCACCAGCUUAGAACCAGUCUCUGAUUUGAGGGGUGAGAAAAGUAGAGGUGGGGGCUCUACCUGAAUGCUCACCAGCUCAGGGGGUGCGGCUGAGCACUGGACAUCAGACAGACAUCUCUGUGAAGGGUUAGCGAGAAGAAGAUCAUGGAACCAUUAGCAACCGCUUGAAGUUAGGCCCAAACCAGUGGGACCCACUGCAUCCAAACACUUGGGGCCACCUGCCAUCAUCAGGGUGGCCCACCUUUCUUCUGAGCAGGGGAUUCUCUUCCCGCCUGGAGGGAGCAGUUUGGCUACAAAGCUGCCUUUUAGAGUGAGACCCCGUCUCCCCUCCCUGCGUUCCCAGGACUAUGUGAAGAAGAGAAAAUGAGUGGCCCUUCCUUUCUCCUGGGAUCCUGGCUGUGGAGCUGCCCACCGCCCUCCUCCUCCCGCCCUAGGCUACCUGACCCGUGAAGGCCGGCCUGAGACAGACACACCCCAAACACCAAGUACCCUGUUUCCUAGGCCAUUCCAGGGACUGAUGAGUCAACAUGGGCUACGAUUCUAAUGUUUUAAUUUGGAACUCCGCUGUUGAUCUGAUAUUUACAAAGGAAUCCAUGCAUGACAUUAACCUGUCAAAAGAGAAGCCUGCACCCUGCGAGAAUUCCUGCCUGAGAUACUGUCUUUUUGUGAGUGUAAGUGCAGAGAGAGCCCACACAAACCACAGGACACCAGAGCUGCCGCGCCGCCCCUCCAGGCUGCUGGCACUCGUGCUCACCCUCUCUGGAGGAACCAUCAUUCUGGCCUCGGAUUCUCCUUCCAAAACAUGGAGAAUAGAAUGUCAGGCAAAGAAAGAAACAGCCAGGCACACAUGGAGAGAUGGCAGCGCGAGUGUGAGUGGUGAGAAACCCAGCGAAUGAAAACAUCUACACAAGAACGCAGACACAGCACCCUCAGACACCGGCUGCAGAAAGCACUGGAGACAUUGUCCAUGAGAAGAAAAAGAAAAGGUCACAUUGUCCAUGAGAAGAAAAAGAAAAGGUCAAGAACUUCAGUGGAGAAAUAAAAAUUACACAAAAAGGAAAGACUUGUAUUUAUUUAUUAUUAUUAUUUUUUGCUGAUUGUGUUUUUUCUAUUCUCCCUCCACUUUCUUUCUAGAACUCCAACUUUUCUCACUGCAUUCUCUAUUUUCUCGUUGCACUUUCUAUUUCUAUGCCUAUUUGUAAAUGCAACACAAAAAUGAUUGCCUGGAAAAAAUACAAGCAACAUUUCAGAACUCAAUAAGUGGGUUUAAAAAUAGUUUGGAUGUCACUGAAAAAUAAUGAGUAGCUGGAAAGCAGGUUGGAAGAAAAUUCUCAGAAUGAAGGAUAGAA